UGCAAUUUGUUUGGGUCAGCACAUCUUUAAUUACACAAAGAAAAAGGCUCUCCACUCACCCUCCAUAGACUUCUUUCUUCUUAGAUUAGGAAAUAGCUACUCCUCUUUGUUAUAGCUUUUCCUCAUCAAUCCUUAAAUCUUGAAGCCCUCUAGAAAGCUACAAGUUUCAGCUCAAAGGAAGGCCUUCUUUUAAAAGUGUAAGAGGGCUGUGGUGCUGAGUUCUGAACAAAUACACAGGUCUUUGUUUUGUUAGCACCGCAAAAAGAAGCCUUCUUUCCUUCGACUUCUGACAUUUGAACAAAGCCCUAUCUGUAGCUGAACGUGAUAUAUCAAACCGCAAAAAACGCCUUUUUUACACAUAAAUUUAUAUGUGUGUAGCCACUAUUAUAUACCAUUAUAAAAGCCAAAGUAGUGUGUAAUCAUGAUCAAUGCAAUAGAACAUCUAAAACCCAUGUCUACAUACACUCCACCAAGUCCAACAACUCCAUCUAUGAACCCUAAUUCAACUCCCAAAUCCACAUAGAAAAACACCCUUUUUGUGGUUUCUCUUAGCAGUGCUACUUCUUGAGAUCAAGAAAUGAACUUCCAAAGCUUGGGGUUUUCUUGAUUUUGAGAAUUUGUUUGAGAAAGGUAUGAAAGUGGUUGUAUGGAGAUGGAGGAGAUUCAAACUGAUGAGUGCAAGUUUCCAAGAAUGAGCAACAAGGAGGAUGCGCAGUACCACCAAUAUGAUGCAGACGACGCAGGAGAAGUCAAAAAGAGUACUUACUUGGGUGGGAUGGGAAAACUUUAUGGAUGGCCUUCAUCAAGAAUUGUUAGAGUUCCUCGUGCAUCUGGAGGGAAAGACAGACAUAGUAAAGUAUUGACUUCAAAGGGAUUAAGAGACAGACGUGUUCGCCUUUCUGUCAAUACUGCAAUACAGUUUUACGAUUUGCAAGAUCGUCUCGGCUGUGAUCAGCCGAGCAAGGUUGUGGAGUGGUUGCUAAAAGCAGCCGCUCCUUCAAUCGCUGAGCUUCCACCUCUAGAGGCAUUUCCAGAUACACUGCAGCUCAGCGAUGAGAAAAGGUCAAGUGUUGGAACUGAGCCGGGUUUUGAUUCAGCUGAUGUUGAAAUGGAUGAUGAUCUAAAUUACAACCAGCAGCAACAACAACCACCACCUUGUUGUAGUAAUUCUGAGACGAGCAAAGGUUCUGGAUUGUCACUUUCCAGAUCUGAUAGUCGGCUCAAGGCACGGGAACGAGCAAGGGAAAGGGCCACAGAGAAGGAAAAAGAGAAAGAAAACAAGUCUUGUGUUGUUGCUCAUCACCAGAAUAUACACCCUAGCUCUUCUUUUACCGAGCUAUUGAGAGGAGGUAUGAGCGAUAACAACAAGAGUAACACAAGUCCUAAUGGUUCCAUUCACCAAAACACGCCGAGGCAAUGGUCUACAAAUCCCUUGGAGUAUUUUACCUCAGGAAUCGACAACUCUACUGGUUUCUCUGGCCAAAUUUAUUUGGGAAAUCCUCUACAGCCAUUAAGACCGGUAUCUUCACCAAUGUUUAGUAUUACCGCUGAUCAUCGGCCUGAGCUGCAGCAUUUCCCAUUCGGCAGUGACAACCUAGUCCCGGUUGUGACCUCCAAUGGGGGAAGUAAUUGCAAUACAAAUAACGAGUACAAUUUGAACUUCAGCAUUACUUCAUCUGGUUUCAAUAGGGGGACCCUUCAGUCCAAUUCUUCCUCUUCGCCGUCUACAUUGCCUCACUUCCAGAGGUUUUCUCCUACAGACGGAUCACAAAAUUUAUAUCUUGGCUCCACAACUGAAUACGAUGCUCGUUUACACCUCUUCUAUGGUAAUGGCUAUGACCACGGCCAUGACAGUAGUAGGCAUUCAAAUCAGAAAGGAAAAGGAAAGAACUAACUCCAUCGCUGUUUAUCGUGAACCUGCAAGGUCCAAAGACCUGAUUCUCUUUGUUUUGGUGGCAUCAUGACUAUUAAUGCUAAAUGGAGAAGGAUAGAGUAAUGAGAUGCAUAGCAGACAACUUUAUUUCCUAGGUGCCACGGCUUAAGCAGGCUUUAAGCAAUUGAAGAUGGAAGCAGCCUCUAAGUCCCAAAGGAAGCAUGCAUUAUUCAUCUCAAAACCUCUGUGUGUGUGUGUUUAUUUUUUUAUGUGAGAUAUAAGUGUGUAUUUAAGAAUUGAUCCUCAUUUGAAUUAUAUGAUUCUGCACUAAAUUGUGCAUACCUUUGCUUGAGGA